rnacentral:precursor_RNA from 8 species
GUUCAUCUCUGAAUGAUGCCCUAAGCCCUAAACAGUAAGAGUUUAUGUGCUGAGGUUAAAAAUUCAGCACAUUGUCUCUUACUUGUAGGGAAAAGGGUUUCUAUCGGCCUGUCACAU